UACUCGAGUGGCGAACGGGUGAGUAACACGUGGGUGAUCUGCCCUGCACUCUGGGAUAAGCCUGGGAAACUGGGUCUAAUACCGGAUAGGACCAUGCUUUAGUGUGUGUGGUGGAAAGUUUUUUGGUGUAGGAUGAGCCCGCGGCCUAUCAGCUUGUUGGUGGGGUAAUGGCCUACCAAGGCGGCGACGGGUAGCCGGACCGAGAGGUUGGUCGGCCACAUUGGGACUGAGAUACGGCCCAG
rnacentral:rRNA from 1 species